ensembl:lncRNA trichohyalin-like
AUGAUUUCUGACCAUGACAGGAGGGAGCACAAGUGGAAGGAUGUGGCCUGCCAGUGGGAGAGUCCAGAGGAUGACCGGAGAGAGGUGGGGUGUCAGAGUGACUUAGCAGAGACGGCAGAUGCUGGCGUCCAGGUGGAGCUGUGGGCUCAGCAGGCGACCCGGGGACACUCAGGUGGUUGUGUCAUGCUGUGGAAGUGUGUUUCUGUUGGAGAAGAUAAACCAGAAGGAGGCAACCUAGAGGAACACUCCUGCAAACACAGGACACACAUGGGACACAUCUGUCUACCCACAAUGCCUGUGUGUCCUCCGUUGGAGUCCAAAGUGCUCCUACACACUCACUCCAUGCCCAGCGUGCCUCAGUUUGAGCCUUGCAUAUCCUCUGCUGCAGGAGGGAGACACAGCUCUCCCACCCCCCUGACAUCUCCAGCUGUGUCGGGCACUCCUCCUGGACUUAUCGCUCCGAUUAGCCCCCCCCUGGCUGAGGAGGAGGAGAAUGAGGAGGAGGAACGAAAGUUAAAAUUUGACUGCAGUGAUCAUCAGCAGCCAAGGAGGAGGUCAACGAUAGCCAACAAACGGACCAGUCAAGACAGCAGGACAAGGAGGAGGAGGAGACCCAAUGACAAUACCCACAAGACAACAAAGCUGAUAAACGAGGUUGAAGACAAGGAGUCACAGCGAGAAGAAAAACUGCAGAGCUGUGGCAAAACACAAGGAGGGCAAGAGGAGGAGGAAGAAGGUAGGAAGGAGGAGAAGGACCCAGGAGAACAGAUGGAGGCUGACAUGCUGCUAAAGCAGGGAAGAGUUAAAACUGUGCAGAAGAAGGGGGUGGAGCAGGUGGGGAGGCCUCAGCGGACAAAGGUUGGCCCACCAAUCAGAUAUCUGCUUGAGUCUGAAGAGCAGUCACAUGGCCUGCUAUUAGCCAAUCACAGAGAGAACAUGGCCAACCUAAAAAAGAAGCUGGGAAAGUUGACAAAAGAGCAUCAGAAAGAGGAGCGAAGGACAGAGGACAGACUGCAGCAGCUCCGUCAGGUGUGUCAUCAGACCUUCACCAGCCCAGCCUUUCAGCAGCUGCGCUUGUCCAUCCGCGGAACAGCAAAGAGCUGUCAAAGCCACAGCAAAAAGUUCUGCUACACCCAAAGUCUGCGUCGGCAUUAUUGCUGCCAUCGCCACGCCAACAGAGAAGGUCACCCUGCAGCAGUGCAAUGCAGUAAGGAGGUCACUGCCCAGCAAAAGGAACACAGGAAUGCAGAGAAGCCCCUCUUAGGAGAAUCUUUCAAAGCUCCUGAUUGGUCAAGACAAAUUAAGCAUGUGCCUAAAAUUCCCCAUUGGUUGGGCAAAUACCAGUCUUCAAAGAGAAGGCCGGACACAGCAAGGAGGAAGAGGAGAUGCCAGGAAAAUGAUGGAGGGAAGGAGUGCAACAGAAAAAGCAGCGAAGAAAAGGAAGCGAAACGAGUCUGUCUCGAGGAGGAGGGAGAUCAGAGAAGUGGAGAUGGUGGAGACCAAGUGGAGUGGGGGAAAGAGGUGAAGAAGCAUCCUCAGAGGCUGAAGAGGAAGAUGGUCGGCCCACCAAUCAGAUACCUUAUAGAAUCAGAGGUGCUGUCAUGUAGUCCACUGACCAAUCAGGACAUCCACAUACAAAGUUUAAAAAGUAACAGUGAGACUGUAGACGGGGCUUCAGAGAUGAUUGACAGGCUUCCAGCUACAAAGAGACAGACAGGUCACAUGAUCACAGAGGAAGAGGAAGAGCUGCCUCAGAGGCCGAGGAGGAAGAUGGUCGGCCCACCAAUCAGAUACCUAGUAGAGUCAGAGGAGCCGUCACAUGGUCCACUGACACCCAACAGACCCAAUGACAAACCAAAUGUUAGACAGAGUAACAGUAAGACUGUAGGUGGGGCUUCAGAGAUGAUUGACAGGCUUCAGGCUACAAAGAGACAGACGGGUCACAUAAACACAGAGGAAGGAGGAGAGAAGGUGACACAGGAGGAAGGAGGAGAAGAGCUGCCUCAGAGGCCGAGGAGGAAGAUGGUCGGCCCACCAAUCGGAUACCUUUUAGAGUCAGAGGACCCAUCACAUGGUCCACUGACACCCAACAGAACCAAUCACGAUGGAGUACGCAAACCAGGUAUUAUACAGCGUGACACUGAUGCUGUAGAUGAGGCUUCAGAGAUGAUUGACAGGCUGCAGGCUACAAAGAGACAGACAGGUCACAUGAUCACAGAGGACGAAGCAGAGAAGGUGACACAGGAGGUGGUGGUAAAAGAGCUGUCUCAGAGGCCGAGGAGGAAAAUGGUCGGCCCACCAAUCAGAUACCUUUUAGAGUCAGAGGAACCAUCACAUGGUCCACUGACACCCAACAGACCCAAUGACAAACCAAAUGUUAGACAGAGUAACAGUAAGACUGUAGGUGGGGCUUCAGAGAUGAUUGACAGGCUUCAGGCUGCAGGGAGACAGACAGGUCACAUGAUCACAGAGGAAGGAGGAGAGAAGGUGAUACAGGAGGAAGGAGGAGAAGAGCUGCCUCAGAGGAAGAUGGUCGGCCCACCAAUCAGAUACCUAUUAGAGUCAGAGGAGCCGUCACAUGGACCACUGACACCCAACACGACCAAUCACGAUGGAGUACACAAACACAAACCAAGUAUUAUACAGAGUGACACUGAUGCUGUAGGUGGGACUUCAGAGAUGAUUGACAGGCUGCAGGCUACAAAGAGACAGACAGGUCACAUGAUCACAGAAGAAGAGGAAGAGCUGCCUCAGAGGCCGAGGAGGAAGAUGGUCGGCCCACCAAUCAGAUACCUUUUAGAGUCAGAGGAGCCGUCACAUGGUCCACUGACACUGAACAGGACCAAUCACAAACCAAAUGUUAGACAGAGUAACAGUAAGACUUUAGGUGGGGCUUCAGAGAUGAUUGACAGGCUUCAGGCUGCAGGGAGACAGACAGGUCACAUGAUCACAGAGGAAGGAGGAGAGAAGGUGAUACAGGAGGAAGGAGGAGAAGAGCUGCCUCAGAGGAAGAUGGUCGGCCCACCAAUCAGAUACCUUUUAGAGUCAGAGGACCCAUCACAUGGUCCACUGACACCCAACACGUCCAAUCACGAUGGAGUAUACAAACACAAACCAAGUAUUAUACAGCGUGACACUGAUGCUGUAGGUGGGACUUCAGAGAUGAUUGACAGGCUGCAGGCUACAAAGAGACAGACAGGUCACAUGAUCACAGAAGAAGAGGAAGAGCUGCCUCAGAGGCCGAGGAGGAAGAUGGUCGGCCCACCAAUCAGAUACCUUUUAGAGUCAGAGGAGCCGUCACAUGGUCCACUGACACUGAACAGGACCAAUCACAAACCAAAUGUUAGACAGAGUAACAGUAAGACUUUAGGUGGGGCUUCAGAGAUGAUUGACAGGCUUCAGGCUACAAAGAGACAGACGGGUCACAUAAACACAGAGGAAGGAGGAGAGAAGGUGACACAGGAGGAAGGAGGAGAAGAGCUGCCUCAGAGGCCGAGGAGGAAGAUGGUCGGCCCACCAAUCGGAUACCUUUUAGAGUCAGAGGACCCAUCACAUGGUCCACUGACACCCAACAGAACCAAUCACGAUGGAGUACACAAACCAGGUAUUAUACAGCGUGACACUGAUGCUGUAGAUGAGGCUUCAGAGAUGAUUGACAGGCUGCAGGCUACAAAGAGACAGACAGGUCACAUGAUCACAGAGGACGAAGCAGAGAAGGUGACACAGGAGGUGGUGGUAAAAGAGCUGUCUCAGAGGCCGAGGAGGAAGAUGGUCGGCCCACCAAUCAGAUACCUUUUAGAGUCAGAGGACCCAUCACAUGGUCCACUGACACCCAACACGACCAAUCACGAUGGAGUAUACAAACACAAACCAAGUAUUAUACAGCGUGACACUGAUGCUGUAGGUGGGACUUCAGAGAUGAUUGACAGGCUGCAGGCUGCAGGGAGACAGACAGGUCACAUGAUCACAGAGGAAGGAGAGGAGCUGCCUCAGAGGCCGAGGAGGAAGAUGGUCGGCCCACCAAUCAGAUACCUUUUAGAGUCAGAGGACCCAUCACAUGGUCCACUGACACCCAACACGACCAAUCACGAUGGAGUACACAACCACAAACCAAGUAUUAUACAGAGUGACACUGAUGCUGUAGGUGGGACUUCAGAGAUGAUUGACAGGCUGCAGGCUGCAGGGAGACAGACAGGUCACAUGAUCACAGAGGAAGGAGAGGAGCUGCCUCAGAGGCCGAGGAGGAAGAUGGUCGGCCCACCAAUCAGAUACCUUUUAGAGUCAGAGGAACCAUCACAUGGUCCACUGACACUGAACAGGACCAAUCACGAUGGAGUACACAACCACAAACCAAGUAUUAUACAGAGUGACACUGACGCUGACGCUGUGGGUGGUCACAGACGGAUCUACCUGGUCUACAGAGACCAACGGUGUGGUCAGGUGACCAUCAUCUCACCUUGCUGUGUCAGACUGCAGCGCCUUGUGUAAAUCUGUUUGCUUCAUAUAUAAUGUGUCAGAUGAUCUAAUGCUGCUGUUGGACCAGUGACAGCCAGGCUGUGCCUUUGGAUGAGGCGCAGACAUGAUGUUCCUCAGUCACUGUGUUUUUUAUCAGAAGGUAUCAGAAGAACACUGAAUAAACUUUUGCUGUUGUGACA